rfam:Eutrema salsugineum unplaced genomic scaffold scaffold_16, whole genome shotgun sequence.
AAGCCGUGGUGGGGACACUGAUUAGUAUAGCUUCUAAAUCGUUCCCAAGCCUCUCCAAAACUUUCGUUGGUGUGUUGUGUGAAGCUUGAGAUUUGAUUUCUGAGCUU